rnacentral:rRNA from 1 species
CCUACGGGAGGCAGCAGUGGGGAAUAUUGCACAAUGGGGGAAACCCUGAUGCAGCGAAGCCGCGUGAGUGAAGAAGGAUCUCGGGAUGUAAAGCUCUAUCAGCAGGGAAGAAACUUACGGUCCCUGAUUACGAAUCCCCGGCUAACUACGUGCCAGCAGCCGCGGUAAUACGUAGGGGGCCAGCGUUAUCCGGAUUUUCUGGGUGUAAAGGGAGCGUAGACGGCAGCACAAGUCUGGAGUGAAAUGCCGGGGCUUAACCCCGGAACUGCUGUGGAAACUGUGCCGCUAGAGUGCAGGAGAGGUAAGCGGAAUUCCUAGUGUAGCGGUGAAAUGCGUAGAUAUUAGGAGGAACACCAGUGGCGAAGGCGGCGUACUGGACUGUAACUGACGUUGAGGCUCGAAAGCGUGGGGAGCAAACAGGAUUAGAUACCCUAGUAGUC